rfam:Arabidopsis thaliana chromosome 5, complete sequence.
GCCCACCAUACAGAUUUCCAUACGGUAGAAGAAAGUAUCACCUAUCUCAACUCCAGGAUUGGACCAGUACUAGGCUCAUCAUAGUUAAGCCACAAUCCACGAUUCCUCAUCAGCUAUAAAAGCAAAACCUUCAUAUCUAUCCUUGUUUCUAAACCAGUCUCAUAGAUAUGAAGGCUUUGUUUCUGAUGAAGGAUUGUGGGAUUGUUGCUUAACACUGAUGAGCAUAUUAUUGGUUCAAUUCUGGUGUUGAGAUAGUUGACACUUCUUAUACCGUAUGAAAACAUGUGUGGUGGGC